ACUACGGGUGGCAGCAGUCGAGAAUCAUUCACAAUGGGGGAAACCCUGAUGGUGCGACGCCGCGUGGGGGAAUGAAGGUCUUCGGAUUGUAAACCCCUGUCAUGUGGGAGCAAAUUAAAAAGAUAGUACCACAAGAGGAAGAGACGGCUAACUCUGUGCCAGCAGCCGCGGUAAUACAGAGGUCUCAAGCGUUGUUCGGAAUCACUGGGCGUAAAGCGUGCGUAGGCUGUUUCGUAAGUCGUGUGUGAAAGGCGCGGGCUCAACCCGCGGACGGCACAUGAUACUGCGAGACUAGAGUAAUGGAGGGGGAACCGGAAUUCUCGGUGUAGCAGUGACAUGCGUAGAUAUCGAGAGGAACACUCGUGGCGAAGGCAGCAUACCGGUGCACACUGACGCUCAGGCACGAGAGCGUGGGUAUCGAACAGGAUUAGAUACCCUAGUAGUC
rnacentral:rRNA from 1 species